AUGGAACUUCAAGAGCCUUCCGAGUUUACCUCUUCUUUUCACAUUAGCCAGAGCAAGGAAGGAUGUUAAUAAUUGUUUUUUACAAAAAUAAAGAAAAAUUCUGUUGUAAAAUAUCCUUCCUGAGAUAAUUAAACUAUUCAGACAAAAUAUUGCUUUAGCAGCACUAUCCUCCACUGGCAAAGCCAGCUAGCCAGCCACCAAUAUCAAUUGCUGCACAAGCUGUUUGCACCAACUUACCUGUAGCAGCUUCAGCCCCUUGUGUGAUGUUCCUUGUAGAGCAAGAUGGUAUAAACCUUGCAUCUGGAUCUCAGCCUGAUACCGAGACGCCAAGGCUUGCUGGAAGAGGUGAAGUAAUACAGGAUGGGGUUCAGGCAGCAGUUGAAACUGACGAGGGCCAAAGUGACCUGGCGCAUUUUGUAAAUGAAGUUAGCGAACAGGAGACUCUGGAUGAGCUGGAUCCUCAUCAGGAAGUGGAGCAGGUGAGUGAGGUGAUAAGGGAGGAAGCACAGGAUGCAGAUGAUGAGGAUCAUGUAGAUGGUCCUCAAGGCCUUCCUCUUGUGAAUGCUGCGUUUGGUUUGGGCUAUCCGCUUGGCGACGAGUGGGUAGCUGAUCAGGAUGAUGGCAAAGGGGAUGACGAAGCCAAACACCAAGGCACAGACAUUGUAGGGGAGCAUGCGCUGGGUCCAACUGGUCACCGGGAAGUUCUCAAAACAAGCCGUCGUGUUCCCUGUACCGUUGUUGUGCAGGGGCCCCCCCAGGAUCAGCGGAAACAUGAUGCUGGCAGCAGCCAGCCAAAGCACUGUGAUCACCAUCAUGCAGUGGGUGAUUUUGAUCCUGAGGUAGGUGAACGGGUGCAGCACUGCGAUGUAACGAUCCAUGCAAAUGCAGGUGAAGAAGGCAAUGCUGAGAUAGAUGUUGAUGUAGUACAAGGUCCCAGUGAUCCUACAAGCCACGUCCCCAAAAACCCAGUUCUUCUGGUUCAUGUAAUAAUGGAUUUUAAAGGGCAACAUACAAACAAACAAGGUGUCUACUACAGCCAGGUUGAUGAGGAACACGUAGGAAUGCGAGGUGUGGUUGACCUUGCAGCUCAACAGGACGAGAGCUAAGAUGUUUUCUACCAAUCCCAGUACGAAGACAAUGCUGUAGAUGAUAGUGAAGAGGUGGUACUGGAAGUCUGCUUCCAAACUGGCAUCGGCUCUCGUCGCAUUAGGAUGUCCCUGGGCCAUGCUAUAGGAAGUGGCUGAUUGUACUUUCUUCGCUGCAGGAAGAGUUCUGUGGGGAUAGCCUAGAUGAUCCUCUUUGGAAAGAGGAUAAAGCAGUCUUUUACCUUAGAUAAAGCUCAGUGUUCAAGAAGCUAUCCGUCCUGUGGUGAGAACAAGAGUUGUUUUGUUAUAUCAGAUAGUUUUGGUUAAAAAUGCUUCUAUGCUCAGUAAACUGAAUUAGAUAUGUAGCUAUUACUGUGGUGGGGAAAGAGCUCUCCACAAGGUUACCAUCACAAAUAGCCUAUCAAACAGAAGAACUGGAGAUUAAGCAGCUGCAGCCUCUUGCUCAUGGACAUGUAACAAGCAGCGGGAGAAAACCAGUUACAGGAACAAGCAUAGAAUAUGUAAAGGGGACACAAAUAUUUAACCUAGGAGGUGCUGAAGCGUUAAAUAGUGGGCUGUCCUUUGUCCUGUUCUAUUUAUUAUUCCAGGGAUCUGACAGUCUGGGUACCAUUUACUGCCCUUGGAUUGUUUCACUCCCUGUAACCCUCUUUGCUGUGGUUUUAAAUGGCAAGGCCGGGGAAAGGCUUCAAGUUAAAGCCGAUAACGUGUGAUUUAAGGCCAAAAACGAAUCUUAAGAACUGAGGGCUAGUGCCAGGCUACUUACCACUAACUUGCUGUGUGACUUUGCCAUGUCACUUCUGAGCUCAACAUGAUCUGAAAUAUCCUCCAGUUCUGCGUGUCUAGCUUGAGCCACCAUCUGAGUUCAAGGUGCUGACCCCCUACAGCUCCCAUAGAACUGAAUGAGACUCUAGGUGCUCAGAAGUGAGGGACGCUAGGCCCCAGCUCACUUAGAUUAGGUAUCCAAAUUUAGGCCAGGUAGCAUGCGUUUGAGCAUUGGACUGAGAGUAGCAGACCUGGAUUCUGUUCUAGACAAGUCGUUCCUGCUCCCCCCUCUUUGGAAACUCUUUGGAACUCAUUAUAUAUCUGUACAGAGCCAAGCAGGAGGAAACCUGGAUGCCAGGUAGGUGCUAUUGUAACACAAAUAACCUGUCAAAGCAAUGGGGAGCCGUCUCCCUGGUGUGAAAGCGUAGACUGUUGCUAUUCAUUAUACUUUAAAGGGACACAGUCAGUUUCAUCACAUUUCCAGUCACUUCUGUUAUUACAAGAAGCACCGAAGAUUGUUAUAAGAGAUUAGAGGGAGGGGGAAAGUAGUUUCACUCUGUAUUGUUUGAUGUGCCAUGUUUGCCCUUUAGUGCCAAUCUGUCUGACCUGUUGAGUUGGGUCUGUCAGAGAACAGAGGAGAAAAAGGGAAAUAACUAACUGCAAAACCAGACGGGCAAGCCAGGGAUAAGGGGCAGAACUCUCCUUAUUAUUGAUAGGUGAAAUUAACUAGAUCUCUUUCGGCAAGAGAAUUUCACCAGAGCAGGAGCUAAACAUGCAGCAACAGUGCUAUGAUUUGACCCAAUCCCUGACAAGGAAGAUGGAGACAUGAGAACACAUUACAAUCGGCCUAACAAACAUACUGGAUAAUGCACAGAAACAUGGAGGUUUCAGUGAUCAUGGAACAGCCAGGGUGAGUGGAAUAAAUCAGAGUGAUGUGUGAGUGCAAAGUAUGCAAGCAAAUUAAUUAAGCAGUGAGGUUCCGAAUAGUCAAUAGAAUGGAAAUAAGGUCUCAGGAGGAAAGGAAAGACCCAGUAAUUUUACUGCCCACUAAUGAAAGAUGUGAGACAGUGUAGAGUGAGUCAGUAAGAACAGAGGUAGCACCAUGCAGAAAACUGCAGAUUUUUUUUCUGUACUAUUUUUAUAUUUUGAAGUGACAACACUGACCUCCUCAAGUAAAAGGAAACCCUUAAACGCUCACCAUUCAAGCAGUCUUUGUGUGAGACUUGCCUAACUGAGGCACAAAAUCUACUUGUCCAGCAUUACCGAGAUGAAAACAGAAAGACUAAAGUUCCAUUGCCUGCUAUGAGUACAUGUUUGCACAACUGUGCUAAAGCCGGCGUCCAUGUAGGGAUCAGAAACUGGGUCUCCCCCACUGAAAGAAUUUCUAGUUUGUAAACCCAAGGGUGAAGAGGAAAAGGUCUGUGUUGAUUGAAAAAGACAUUUCCAUUGUUGUUAAUGGAAAUGUUUGUUAGUCAUAGGGCAAACCUUGUUUUUACAAAAUUUGAAUUUUGGUUCAAAUGUGAUUUGAUAGCAUCCCUUUUAAAGCAUCAGAUAUGCAGCAUUCCCUAUGCAAAUGGUAUCCAAAUAGAAGGAAUUAGCAUAACAAGGUAUUUAAAGCAAAUAAAAUUAGUUGCUAUGUACGCUGGUAGGUCACUUUCGAACAUUUACCCUCCCUGUUACAAAACAAAUUGAGCCUGCUAGUUUGGAGAGGGGCUUUCCAUUUAACACAGCUUGCGUUAAGAUGUAAGCAUUUUUUUUGUAAAGAAAUUCAGAUGCUAAAACAAGGAUUACAUUGGCUAAAUGUUCUUGCUUUUGAUGUGGACGUGUAAAGUGCUAGCUUCAGAAUGUGGACUUGGCCAACUAAUUCCAGACCCUCAGAUUCAUUAUGUUGGGUUGCGCAGUUAUUGGACAUACAGGCAACAGAUACCAUAAUUGUUUUAGUUUUAUCACCAGUUGAAAAACAAGCUGGUAGCUGGGGAGGUUUUUGUGGGGGGACCAGCUGUAAUGAGGCUAUAAUGCUAUAGCCUGCAAUUGUGGAUGGAUGGACGGACACCCAAACAGUACUGGCUGCCGGUUGGCCUUGUUCUGCACCACGCAGCAUCACAUAACAAAUCCAGAUAGGAAGUAAUAGAAACAAACUCACCCACGCGUCAAUACCGUUUUAUCUCAUUGGAAAAAUGCAACGCAGCAACUGGAUCUUCUUAAGAUGCUUCACAAAGCAGAGGCUUGAUGCUGAGUUCUCCUGUCUGAAGGUAGCACCAGAACAAGCCACUUUGCAAAGCAUCCGGCAAAACCCUCCACUCUGCAUAGAGGAAACCACAGGAAGUGAAAAGCUAGGCCAAGAGUUCCAGUUCACACAUGGAAUCGGGCAGCAGGUGAACAGAACAUUUCAUAUCAAGGCUAGCAUGUGUCACAUGACACUGCACUUAGGCAAGUUUCAGUUUUGCUAGCUCAUGAAGGCAGUCUCUCAAUGCACCAGCGAAGGAAAGGCACGCUCUCAUGUUUGGUCACAAGGGGGAGAGGCGGCUGAACUACUAUGCAGCCCUAGGGCUUGCCUUAGCAGGGGAUGCUGGGGCUUCCAACCAGGGGCCAGGACUUGAAUUUAGCCUGUGUCUCAGACUCAUUUCCCAGGUGAUUUUAGCCUAUGCUUUUCCUGGUAAGGAGAUAGGGCAACAGUGGGGUCACGGGUAAAUUCCUGGCUCGGGAGCUGGAUGCCGUUUGCUUAUCUGAAGCAAAGGACAGCUGGUGUCUUUUGAGGUUCUGCAAUAUGUCCAGUCUCUAGGAUUAACCAUGUCAUUACCCUAAUGCUAUAUACCUGGCUGCAUGCAGCAGUGGUAAAACAGCAGUGGGCACCUCCCCCCUGCCCCCACCAACCUUGAGUUACUU
ensembl:lncRNA